rnacentral:rRNA from 1 species
GAUGAACGCUAGCUACAGGCUUAACACAUGCAAGUCGAGGGGAAGCGACAUCGAAAGCUUGCUUUUGAUGGGCGUCGACCGGCGCACGGGUGAGUAACGCGUAUCCAACCUGCCCAUCACUUGGGGAUAACCUUGCGAAAGUAAGACUAAUACCCAAUGAUAUCUCUAGAAGACAUCUGAAAGAGAUUCAAGAUUUAUCGGUGAUGGAUGGUGAUGCGUCUGAUUAGCUUGUUGGCGGGGUAACGGCCCACCAAGGCAACGAUCCGUAGCGGGUCUGAGAGGAGGGUCAGGCACACUGGAACGGAGACAAGGCCCAGACCAAUACGGGAGGGAACAGAGGGGAAUGGAGGAUAGGGGGCGGAGGGCGGACCUAGACAUACCGAGUAGCGGGAAGAGGGCUGGGGGUAUGAAAUGUCUAUUGUUGGUAAAGGAAAACAGCGUGUGAAUAGCGACCCGUUUUGAAGGUACCCAAUGAAUAAGCACCGGCUAACUUCGUG